rnacentral:lncRNA from 1 species
GUCUCAUUGGCACUCAUACCACAUAUUCCUAUAUCUAUUGACACAUCUGUGUCAUCUCUGCUAUCGUUCACUAAAAUAUCGUAAUUUGAGCUUUAUUGACCAGCAAAAGGUUGUAAUUUAGGUUGUAUUGGUCGGUCCGAAAUCGCUGCUUGAUCAGGAUUCGUUUCUAUCAGAGCUCCCUCUGCCUCUACAUCAACCCCUACCACCAC